rnacentral:rRNA from 1 species
CGAACGCUGGCGGCAGGCCUCAUACAUGCAAGUCGAACGAUUAAAGCUCCUUCGGGAGUGUAUAGAGUGGCGAACGGGUGAGUAACAGGUGGACAACCUACCUCCUGGCGGGGGAUAACGGCUGGAAACGGCCGCUAAUACCGCAUGUCAUUAUUUGAACUUCGGUUCACUUAAAAAAAGGCGCUUUCGGGCGUCACCAGGAGAUGGGUCCGCCCCCCAUUAGCUAGUUGGUGAGAUAAAAGCUCACCAAGGCUUCGAUGGGUAGCCGAGCUGAGAGGUUGAUCGGCCACACUGGAACUGAGACACGGUCCAGACACCUACGGGUGGCAGCAGUAGGGAAUAUUGCGCAAUGGGCGAAAGCCUGACGCAGCCAUGCCGCGUGAGUGAUGAAGGCCUUCGGGUCGUAAAGCUCUUUUCUGAGGGAAGAACAACCGGGAUAGGAAAUGAUCCCGGUCUGACGGUACCUCAGGAAUAAGGAACGGCUAACUCC